AUACGGAGGGGACAAGCGUUAUUCGGAAUCACUGGGCGUAAAGGACGCGUAGGCGGGUUAUUAAGUCGGGUGUGAAAUCCAAUGGCUCAACCAUUGAACUGCAUUCGAAACUGAUAACCUAGAGUAUGGAAGGGGCAGGUGGAAUUAGUGGUGUAGGGGUAAAAUCCGUAGAUAUCACUAGGAAUACCGAAAGCGAAGGCGACCUGCUGGGACAUUACUGACGCUGAGGCGUUAAAGCGUGGGGAGCAAACAGGAUUAGAUACCCCAGUAGUCC
rnacentral:rRNA from 1 species